rnacentral:piRNA from 1 species
UGUUUCGGAGCUCCGUGGAUG